UUAGAUAAAAAUAGACAUAUGAGAUUUGUCCAUGUCAUCACGAGUAAAAAUUUUACUCGUAGAUUUACUCUCAUGAUGAUAUGGACGAAUCUUAGACAUCCAUUUUUCUUAGUUUUUCAC
rnacentral:misc_RNA from 1 species